rfam:Stenotrophomonas phage Smp131, complete genome.
GUCGGGAGGGCGGCAGCCAUACAACACCCGCAAGGGGAAAACUGCCCGCCGGACUGUUGACCGGUUCUUACCCUCCCGACACCCUCGG